UUGGCUGGUGUCCCAGGUGGUGUCCCAGGACUGCCCUCAUAUGUGGGUGGUGGUGAGAUCCCAUGCUGGUUUUCCUGGUGGCCUGGCCAUG
rnacentral:pre_miRNA from 1 species